ensembl:lncRNA
AUACGGGACCAUAUAUGGCAUGUGGUCACAUGGUGUCUCCCGCAGAAAACCUUGUGUAAAAUACUGAGGUAGCCAUUUUUCCAAUCGCUUCUUAUGAGAAACCAACUGCCUCAACGGAUAUAUUAUAGAAUAUAUUUGUUAAAACCACCUUGAGGAUGGAUCCUAAACAACGUGUUUCUGUCUAUUAUGUAGCUAAUUUUGAAAAAGGUUUGGCGUUAUAGUUGUAGCAUUAUUCGGUCGAUUUCUCAGCCAAGCAUGGUGAAGAAACGGGAGCUUUUUCAGUCAAAAAUAAAAAAGUCAAAAAUAAUAUUUUUGGAAAAAAGGAACAUUUGCUAUCUAACUGGGAGUCUCCUGAGUGAAAGCAUCCGAAGUUCUUCAAAGGGCCCUGAGAUCCUCAAAAGGUUCUACAGCUGCAUCAUCGAGAGCAGGCAGUGACUGGUUGCAUCACUGCCUGGUACGGCAAUUGCUCGGCCUCUGACUGCAAGAUACUAUAGAGGGUAGUGCAUACGGCCCAGUACAUCACUGGGGCUAAGCUGCCUGCUAUCCAGGACAUCUACACCAGGCGGUGUCAAAGGAAGGCCCUAAAAAUGGUCAAAGACCCCAGCCACCCCAGUCAUAGACUGUUCUCUCUACUACAGCAUGGCAAGUGGUACCGGAGUCUAGGACAAAAAGGCUUCUCAACAGUUUUUACCCCCAAGCCAUAAGACUCCUGAACAGGUGUCACCCUACUUCCCCAUUAUCCCCUGGGUAUUUAAACUUGUGUUUUCUGUCUGUCAGUGCCAGUUCAUCUUGUAUUUUCCAAGUCAACCAGUGUGUUUUUCCUGUGCUCCUGCCUUUUCUGGUCUCUUUUGCUGGUCCUCCCGGUUUUGACCCUUGCCCUUUUUCUGGAUUCUGUACCCGCCUGCCUGACCAUUCUGCCUGCCUUGACCUCGAGCCUGCCAGCCACACUGUACCUCCUGGACUCUGGACUGGUUUUGACCUUUUGCCUGUCCACGAUCAUUCUCUUGCCUACCCCUUUUGGAUUUAAUAAAUAUCAAAGACUCAAACCAUCUGCCUCCCGUGUCUGCAUCUGGGUCUCACCUUGUGCCCUUAUACAUGAUCGGAUAUCGACAUGCCUGGGUGGUUGACCCUGUGACCCCUGUAGAGCAACGCUGUUUGUAGGUCUUCUAUAGUGCAGCAGAUCAAUGGCUGUGACAUGAGGCCCCUGACAGCUGAUCGAUAACAGCCUCCUAUUGAUUGGCAGUAAAUAAAGUGAUUGAUGGAUCGGCCUGAAAAUGAUUUGGUGACUGAGAGGAGAGGAGUGCAUCUGGACUUAGCAAGCCUGUUGGUAUAAGUCAGAAGAGGAUAGGGAGUAGGAGUGGGAGGAGAAGGAAGAGGAGGAGAAGCAAGAGGAGGAGGAGUAAGAGGAAGCGGAAGAAGGAGAUAGAGGAAGGACUACAGCCAAUGAUGAAGAAGAGGAUGAAAAUGUGGAGGAGGAAGAAAAGGAAGAAGAGCAGGAGGAGGAGCAGGAGGAAGAGGAGGAGGAUGAGAGAAUUAAGAGAGGGUGAAGAUGAUUUCUCUGGCAGAGUAAUUAAAGGCCUUUCUCAUCUCCGAGGAUUUCUCUCUGGGUUUAAUUACGGCCUGCGUCUUGCACUUUUUACAUUAAACAUGAUCCAGCCUGGCUUUUGUGGCUCAAUAGCUGCGUUUAGACAGGCAUACCAAUUCUGAUAUGUUUUUCACUAAUUGGUCUUUUGACCAAUCAGAUCAGCUCUGAAAAAUAUCUGAUGUGAAAAGAUCUAAUGUGAUUGGUCAAAAGACCAAUUAGUGGAAAAAAGAUUAGAAUUGGGUUGCCUGUGUAAACGCAGCCUACUAUGGGUAUUACAUUAACCUAUCCUCAUUGAGAUAUAUGCCCGCCUGCACACAGGCACAGGCAUGCACACACACACACACACACACACACACACUAAAUCCAGUCCUUUGUUCAGUUAUGCUAAUGGCCUGUGGGGGAGCACCUAAGGUGAUGGAUGCAACUGUGACACUAUUUCAUAGAGCAGGACACUUCAGUCUUCUUUACCCAGCCCAGACCCAUAUUGGUGCCCCAGUAGGGGAGGUCACAGCCACAGUACAGUUAGCCACAGCCUGCCUUCCUUUGAUAUAUGACAGUGCCAACUUUCAAUUACAUAUUCCCAGAAACCCAGCCCUGGCCAAUCUAAUCCUAUUCUGGGAGGAAAUUAAAGAGUACGGGAGUUGUCCUGAGAGAGGAAAAGAAAAGAUUAAGUUAUGAAAUUCAUAAAAUCGUUUUUUUGUUGUUGAUGAGGACAGAAGAAUACACAAUCUAAUUGAGUGAUGAGGGGAGAAGAUGGAUAGAUGAUUAUGUAUGGUAUUAUGAAAACUUUUUCAAACUCUCCUGUUUACUGCUACGGUAUAUGAACAUCAUAACUUUACACCCUUGUACAGUACAGGAC